CCCAGCAUCACUUCCUGCACCUGUGCAUAAGCUUUUAAGCUGUGUGCCUGAUCCUCAGCCUGGCACCUAGCCUGCUGCCUUUCAGAGUUGCCCAUGGCGAUUAGGACAAAGAACCAACAAGCAGAAUAUUCCAACAGAACAUUUAGGUUAAGGUUUUGAUGGUCUCAAAUGAAACAACUAAAAUGAACAUAGAACUGAGCAUACGGAUAACCAAUUGUUUCAGAAUUAUUAAAUAUGAGA
rnacentral:lncRNA from 1 species